GUAUUUUCGUCAUAACGGAUGCACUAGAAUGUUACAACUGUCCUAGUAUCAGCAAUACACAUGACUGCAAUACAACGGCAGUGUGUGCAGUAGGGCAGUCUUGUUUCCUAAAAACAUUCGAAAACGGAG